rnacentral:rRNA from 1 species
GACGAACGCUGGCGGCGUGCUUAACACAUGCAAGUCGAACGGAAAGGCCCUGCUUUUGUGGGGUGCUCGAGUGGCGAACGGGUGAGUAACACGUGAGUAACCUGCCCUUGACUUUGGGAUAACUUCAGGAAACUGGGGCUAAUACCGGAUAGGAGCUCCUGCUGCAUGGUGGGGGUUGGAAAGUUUCGGCGGUUGGGGAUGGACUCGCGGCUUAUCAGCUUGUUGGUGGGGUAGUGGCUUACCAAGGCUUUGACGGGUAGCCGGCCUGAGAGGGUGACCGGCGACAUUGGGACUGAGAUACGGCGCAGACUGCUACGUGAGGCAGCAGUGGGGAAUAUUGCACAGUGGGCGGAAGCCUGAUGCAGCAACGCCGCGUGCGGGAUGACGGCCUUCGGGUUGUAAACCGCUUUCGCCUGUGACGAAGCGUGAGUGACGGUAAUGGGUAAAGAAGCACCGGCUAACUACGUG